CCUACGGGAGGCAGCAGUGAGGAAUAUUGGUCAAUGGGCGGGAGCCUGAACCAGCCAAGCCGCGUGAGGGAAGAAGGUCCAGCGUAUCGUAAACCUCUUUUGCCAGGGAACAAAGUCGGGGACUUGUCCCCCGAUGAGUGUACCUGACGAACAAGCAUCGGCUAACCCCGUGCCAGCAGCCGCGGUAAUAGGGGGGAUGCGAGCGUUAUCGGGAUUUAUUGGGUUUAAAGGGUGCGCGGGCGGAUUUUUAAGUCAGCGGUCAAAUCGUGGGGCUCAACCCCAACCAGCCGUUGAAUUUGGGGAUCUGGAGUGUGCGAGAGGUAUGCGGAAUGCGUGGUGUAGCGGUGAAAUGCAUAGAUAUCACGCAGAACCCCGAUGGCGAAGGCGGCAUACCGGUGCACAACUGACGCUGAGGAACGAAAGCGUGGGUAUCGAACAGGAUUAGAUACCCGUGUAGUC
rnacentral:rRNA from 1 species